rnacentral:lncRNA from 1 species
GAGGGUCACACAGCAGGGAGGGUCACACAGCAGGGAGGGUCACACAGCAGGGAGGGUCACACAGCAGUGAGGGUCACACAGCAGUGAGGGUCACACAGCAGUGAGGGUCACACAGCAGGGAGGGUCACACAGCAGGGAGGAUCACACAGCAGGGAGGGUCACACAGGGUUACCUUUUCCUUCUUUGCCAUAGCCCAGGGCAGGAGGAACGGUGAGCUUUCGCUUCUCUCCCACACACAUUCCCUUCAAGCCUUGGUCCCAGCCUUUGAGAACCUCCAGUAUGCCCAGGGUGAACCAGACAGGCUGACCAUUGUUAUGUUUGUGACU